rnacentral:lncRNA from 1 species
CUUUUUUUGAAUCCUCUCAGUUCCUCCUUGUGCCUGGCAGGUAACAUCAUGAAUUCCUAUGAAGUUGCCCAAUUAUUGGUUCCUGCUGUUGCUGGGCUCUAACGUCAUAUCUUCCUGUGGUCUUAAUCUAUAUAUGCUUUGUUUGAACUCAAUAAAGGGUCAUUAUCAAUAGCGUCCAUUCAUUACUCUUCACUUUUCAUUACCCCAAGUAAGUUCACACAGGGCUGGCCGACCCUGGCGCUGAGCCUUACAAUAGAAUCCCUCUUGUCAGUUACACUGUUGGGUACCGUUUCAUACUUGGGAUCAUAACCAGGCACUUAAUAUGGAGGUUUGUCUGGGAUCCCAUGAAGGAAAUGGAGUAUGACCAACAGAGGAAGGGGGCCCCUGUCCCCAGGGCAACUCGGUUCGAUGUGAUCCAGAACAUGCCACAUCUCGGUGGAGGACAGCAGGGUCUGAAAACCAUCUUGAUCGGCUCCUGUUUCUGCUCCUGGCCUCUCACCUGGUGCCCGAGCUGUGCUCCGGCUCCCGCCCCAACCCACCCUGGCGGUCUGUCUCUCACCCAUCUGGCCUCCAACCCAGACGGCUCAUCACCCCAGCCCCAGACCCACGAGCGUGACCCCAGCCGGCUCAUCACCCAGAUCCUUGGAGCCGAUUGCUGAGGACUUAUUGCGACCAGCUGGUAACAGUAUUGGCCACUUGGGCGGAGGGGAGAGAAGAGAGGGAAAGGAGAAUGGGUAAUUUUCCCUUAGGCUAAGUGGAUGGGGGUAUUGACCACAGGGGGAUCAGAGCAGGGGAGAGAGAAAAGGGAGAGGAGAAGAAACAGAUUUUUCAAACAGAAACUUAAAAUGCAAUGGGCUGUUUAAAAGGAUUUUUGACUGUUCUGAUAAUUUCAUUGAUUUCACCUGCGUGCCAGAAGAAACAUUCAGCCCAAAUAUUCAACUUUGAAUUUGCAAAUGGGUGGCUCAGCGAACUGAGAGCAUGGUCCUCGGUUAAAAUCUGGCCUCAGAUACUCCCCAGCUGUGGGGCUCCAAGCAGAUCGAACAGAUCGAUAGCCUUUACUACUCUACCUUCGGAAAAUAGACAUUUAAAUGGAUAAUUAAAAACAAACAAAAAAAAACCCACCCAAGGAACUUUAAAGACUAAAGACUAUAUUCUAAGGCAUUUCAGACUCCAGUGAUUUAUAAAAAUCUCUGUAUUCUAUUGCAUUUUUUGUUAUGGUUUAACUUUGUGAUUUUAAGUUCAUAUAUUACUGGAUUCAAUAUUAUUCUGCUUCAACUGAAGGUUGAUUGAAUUUAUUUUGAAUGUACUGAGUUUUAAAAAUUCUGUUGUUUUUCCCCUGUAACUGUAUUGAACAAAUAUUAUUGUGAAUAAGCCCAUAUAUGAAAAAACAGCUUUUUUCUAUUUUGCUGAGGAUAGAUGGACUUCAGAACUGGUUAUAAUUGUAUUAACAACCUUUGGAAUUUUAAUGUGCUAAAUACCUCAAAUGAUUUGAUUUUAAGGGUUUUUUAAAUAUGAUUUUUGGAAUUUUUUUUUUAACAAUCUGGUUAUUUUUGCCUGCCCCUACCACGAGGUAAGGCCCAUUAGCUGAAGUGAAAUACAUUUUAUAAACCCCAACCUUCCCACAUGUGAAUGGAAGUUGGGCAGUUAAUUUCAGGGCAUUUGUACCCUUAAAAAGCCUCCACUUCCAGUCAAGAUGGCAGUGUAGAAGCAGCGAAAGUUCAGACCUCGGAAACCCUUCCUUACCGAUCGCAAACAGAGUGUUCCUAGGCCACCGAAAUUCAAGCUGAACAACAGGAUAGACCUGGGGAAACCUCCUCCUGGACCUGGAUCAAAAGGUACCACACCCCAAAAGCCAGAACCCUAGAUCACUUGGAUCUAAGGGGUAGACAGAAAGAAGGUCCCAGGACCCAUCCCCCCCAACCCAGAGUGCUGAGCCCAAGGCAGCAGCGGGAACCUCAGGGCUCUGAGGACUCACCUUGAAAGCAACCCCAGCCAGUCUCCGGAGCGCCCAACACAGACGGCAGGGAAGCAUAGAGAGAAGGGGGAAGCCUGUGGCCCCCUGGCUGGGUUCUUCCAUCUGGGUCUCAGGGGAGGUCCCAGCUUCGGGGCACCAGCUGAGCCCAAUCCCAUCGGGAGCCCUCAGAGCUACUGAAAGGACAGAGGGCUCAGGGCUGGCAAAGGGGUUGCUCCAAAGAGCCUACCUUGAAAGUAACCCAGGCCAGUUUCUGGGCACUCAACACAGACUGUGGAAGAGGAGGUUGCUGCUUUUCUUUUUCUUCCUUUUUUUGGCUCCGGGAUCAUUCAGCCCACACCACCUGAACCUAAUCCCAUCAGGAGCCAUCAGAGUCCAGGCAAGCCAAGACCCCUCCCCCCUUAGAGAGCAGGGUCUUCUGAAAGAACCAGCUGAACCUAAUCCAAUCAGGAGCCCUCAGAGCUGCUGAGAGGAAGGAGAACUCAGGGCUGGCAAAGGGGUUGCUCCGGGGAGCUUGCCUUGAAAGUAACCCGGGCCAGUUUCUGGGCACUCAACACAGACUGUGGAAGAGGAGGUUGCUGCUUUUCUCUUUCUUCUUUUUUUUGGCUCUGGGAUCAUUCGGCCCACACUACCUGAACCUAAUCCCAUCAGGAGCCAUCAGAGUCCAGGCAAGCCAAGACCCCUCCCCCCUUAGAGAGCAGGGUCUUCUGAAAGAACCAGCUGAACCUAAUCCCAUCAGGAGCCCUCAGAGCUAUUGAAAGGACAGAAAACUCAGGGCUGGCAAAGGGGUUGCUCCAAAGAGCUUACCUUGAAAGUAACCUGGGCCAGUUUCUGGGCACUCAACACAGACUGUGGAAGAGGAGGUGGCUACUUUUUUUUUCUUCCUUUUUUUGGCUCCGGGAUCUUUCGGCCCACACCACCUGAACCUAAUCUCAUCAGGAGCCCUCAGAGUCCAGGCAAGCCACAACCCCUCCCCCCUUAGAGAGCUGGGUCUUCUGAAAAAACAGAAACCUAGAGGCGAAGUCAAGAUGGCAGCCUGGCCAGAGCUUUAGAGAUCCUCCAUAUCUGCUCCAGCUGUCCAGGAAGUUUAAAACUAAGAAUAAACCCAGCCCAACUAAGCUGAACUCA